rnacentral:rRNA from 1 species
CGAACGCUGGCGGCGUGCUUAACACAUGCAAGUCGAACGGAAAGGCCCUGCUUUUGUGGGGUGCUCGAGUGGCGAACGGGUGAGUAACACGUGAGUAACCUGCCCUUGACUUUGGGAUAACUUCAGGAAACUGGGGCUAAUACCGGAUAGGAGCUCCUGCUGCAUGGUGGGGGUUGGAAAGUUUCGGCGGUUGGGGAUGGACUCGCGGCUUAUCAGCUUGUUGGUGGGGUAGUGGCUUACCAAGGCUUUGACGGGUAGCCGGCCUGAGAGGGUGACCGGCCACAUUGGGACUGAGAUACGGCCCAGACUCCUACGGGAGGCAGCAGUGGGGAAUAUUGCACAAUGGGCGGAAGCCUGAUGCAGCAACGCCGCGUGCGGGAUGACGGCCUUCGGGUUGUAAACCGCUUUCGCCUGUGACGAAGCGUGAGUGACGGUAAUGGGUAAAGAAGCACCGGCUAACUACGUGCCAGCAGCCGCGGUGAUACGUAGGGUGCGAGCGUUGUCCGGAUUUAUUGGGCGUAAGGGGCUCGUAGGUGGUUGAUCGCGUCGGAAGUGUAAUCUUGGGGCUUAACCCUGAGCGUGCUUUCGAUACGGGUUGACUUGAGGAAGGUAGGGGAGAAUGGAAUUCCUGGUGGAGCGGUGGAAUGCGCAGAUAUCAGGAGGAACACCAGUGGCGAAGGCGGUUCUCUGGGCCUUUCCUGACGCUGAGGAGCGAAAGCGUGGGGAGCGAACAGGCUUAGAUACCCUGGUAGUCCACGCUGUAAACGGUGGGUACUAGGUGUGGGGUCCAUUCCACGGGUUCCGUGCCGUAGCUAACGCUUUAAGUACCCCGCCUGGGGAGUACGGCCGCAAGGCUAAAACUCAAAGGAAUUGACGGGGCCCCGCACAAGCGGCGGAGCAUGCGGAUUAAUUCGAUGCAACGCGUAGAACCUUACCUGGGUUUGACAUGGAUCGGGAGUGCUCAGAGAUGGGUGUGCCUCUUUUGGGGUCGGUUCACAGGUGGUGCAUGGCUGUCGUCAGCUCGUGUCGUGAGAUGUUGGGUUAAGUCCCGCAACGAGCGCAACCCUUGUUCACUGUUGCCAGCACGUUAUGGUGGGGACUCAGUGGAGACCGCCGGGGUCAACUCGGAGGAAGGUGGGGAUGACGUCAAGUCAUCAUGCCCCUUAUGUCCAGGGCUUCACGCAUGCUACAAUGGCUGGUACAGAGAGUGGCGAGCCUGUGAGGGUGAGCGAAUCUCGGAAAGCCGGUCUCAGUUCGGAUUGGGGUCUGCAACUCGACCUCAUGAAGUCGGAGUCGCUAGUAAUCGCAGAUCAGCAACGCUGCGGUGAAUACGUUCCCGGGGCUUGUACACACCGCCCGUCAAGUCAUGAAAGUUGGUAACACCCGAAGCCGGUGGCCUAACCGUUGUGGGGGAGCCGUCGAAGGUGGGACUGGUGAUUAGG